rnacentral:rRNA from 1 species
GUCGAGCGGCAGCGACUUAACUGAACCUUCGGGGAACGUUAAGGGCGGCGAGCGGCGGACGGGUGAGUAAUGCCUGGGAAUAUGCCCUGAUGUGGGGGAUAACUAUUGGAAACGAUAGCUAAUACCGCAUAAUCUCUUCGGAGCAAAGAGGGGGACCUUCGGGCCUCUCGCGUCAGGAUUAGCCCAGGUGGGAUUAGCUUGUUGGUGAGGUAAUGGCUCACCAAGGCUACGAUCCCUAGCUGGUCUGAGAGGAUGAUCAGCCACACUGGAACUGAGACACGGUCCAGACUCCUACGGGAGGCAGCAGUGGGGAAUAUUGCACAAUGGGGGAAACCCUGAUGCAGCCAUGCCGCGUGUGUGAAGAAGGCCUUCGGGUUGUAAAGCACUUUCAGUAGGGAGGAAGGUAGUGUAGUUAACACCUGCAUUAUUUGACGUUACCUACAGAAGAAGCACCGGCUAACUCCGUGCCAGCAGCCGCGGUAAUACGGAGGUGCGAGCGUUAAUCGGAAUUACUGGGCGUAAAGCGCAUGCAGGCGGCCUGUUAAGUCAGAUGUGAAAGCCCGGGGCUUAACCUCGGAAUUGCAUUUGAAACUGGCA